AUAUAAAAAAAUCAUUUUUGAUCGUGCUUUAACAAGAAGUCGAGGCUGUAUUUUCAUUGUGAGCAGGAUGCACCAUUCGUGGAGGGAUUGUUUCCCAACAAGACACACAAUGAUGAGGGAUGAGUGACAGCCCUUCUUUGAACCGCGGUACAUUCUUUCUUAAUUUCUAAAUAGUCUCUCUUAACAUUCAGUUGGUCUGCAGAUUUAACAGCAUCCAGGGGUGAUUUCUAAGGGUCGCGUGCGAGGAAAUUACACUCUUUGGUGGCAUGUUAAAGGCUACAGGUUCACUUGUGCAGGCUCUUGAGGGAUCACGUAUUCGUAAACUGACGUAACGAACUCAUUCAACUUAAUUUCCAAUUAUGAGCAGUAACUCAACAUGCAACUGAAAGACGUGGAAAGAUUGGUGUGAAAGUUCACCCCAGGGCUGGUGUUUCUCAGGUCUUGGAGAAUUGCUGCCUCGGACAACAUAUCGAGUGGACAAGUUGAACAAUCUUCACAACGCUCUGUGCUCAACGCUUCAUCAUGGAUAAAUAUGGUUUCAAUUCGCUUAUGAACAUUUUCAUUUGUUUUAUCCUUUUCCUCCGUUUUGGAUGUUUUGGCUUCCUUCUCGCCACUCAAAGCAGCCAAUGCUGUUGUGUUGGGUGUAUUGUCGUUGACCUCUUCAACCCUCAUUUUGAAAGGAAAUGCAAAGCUGGGAUCUAAAUACGACUCAUUCUCAACACUAGUGUCUUCAUCCGGGGUGUUGAUGAAUACCGAGGUUGGAGGAGGAUUGUUGAUUCCGGAAGAAGGGAUGUGUAACAAGGAUACGUAUGUGGAGUCGAGAGCAUAUGUUUCUAGGAUGUUGGGUUUUAAGGCGGCUUUGCUUACAAAUUGGAAUUUAUGACUACGGCCAUCAGAUCGCAUGGGACGGGGUUCUGCAAUGUCAUCUUUGGAUACUCCACAUCCCAUGACGGUCAAAAGUUUCAGUAGAUUCUCAAUUGCUCCGCUCCACUGCCUGUAGGUUUGAUUCUUGUGGCCAAUUUCUUGUGGCAAUGCGGUUGUGGCCUUAGCUGCAUACAGGCCCGAGCGAAAUGAAAGAAUCUGUGGAGAUGACGAUGUUUUGGUGUGCCUCUCGCUUCUUCGGCAGUAGGAUAUUCUAGGCUUGCAGAUCAAGUAGUUAACCUCUUGCUAUCCAAUUCUGCGAAGCUGUACUUCAAUCCUCUUGUCCAUGAUAUAAACGGCGACGGCUCAAUUCGGUCUCUGCAAUAAUUUCA